CCAGAGCGCGGGGAGCGGGCAGCCGGCCCGGCGGCGGAGGGGGAGGGCCGCCCGGGAGAGGCAGGUCUCCGGCUGGCUGGGUUCUGAACUGGGGAGCCAGGUGGAGACGGAGACCCCGGCACAGAGGAGCGUGUGUGUGUGUGUGUGGGGGUGUGUGUGUGUGUGUGUGUGGGUGGGUGGCGGUGAUGAGGGACGAGGGGUCGCGAAGCCUGGCGCCCAGGCGGCCGCUGGUGGGAAGGUCUGGCGCGCCUCGCAGCCGUGUCCCUCUGCAAAGACCCGGGGCAACUUUCCCUCGCCGCCGCUGACCCUCUUCCUGCGAAGGAAUAAAGUGAACUUGCUCAGAUACUCGAUUCCGCUGGCGGUUCAGUUCUUUCUGCUUUGGUAUUGAGUUUCUUUCCACCUUUCAGUGUGAACAGCCUUUGUGUCCUCAGUUCUAAGGUGUGCGUGUAUGUAUACAUAUAUUCUAUAGUGUGUAUAUAUAUUCUAUCGUGUUUGUAUAUAUAUGAAAUAUAUAUGAAAUAGUGUGUGUAUAUAUAUUCUAUAGUGUGUGUGUGUGUGUGUAUAUAUAUAUAUAUAUAUACACAUAUCUAUGAAAUCUCCUAGGUACUUUUGAUCCCAUCUGGAUAAAUUAAAACCCAGAUCUGUAAUGUUUAUUCUUAGUUUACAAAAGGCAGGGAAAAAAAUGUGUGAGACACAUGUCUGCAAGUAUAUCAAAAGUACUUUCCCUUCUGCCGGAAAAAGUUGCCUGCAAAUGGCUUCCCUUCACUGAUCCUGGACCACCUCUACUUCUCCGGGAAACUAAAUCGGGUCAUAACUAAAGCCCCCAUCAGACCAAGCAAUUAAGUGCCAAUAAUGACUAUUAAUGACUGUAUUACUAAUGAUUGGAGUUGAGGACUCCAAGCCUGCUCAAGGUCAUCAAGCUGUUUCAAAAUUCUGCUACCCCAGAUUUUUAUAGCAUUCCACCCCAGUAAAGGAGGUAAGAAGACAGAAGAAGUUCUCAAAGAAUUCUCCAGUAGGUAUCCCAUGGUCAAAGUCGAAUUUGUUUCUUUCAGUAAAGUUGAUUUCUACUUCUGGUAAAUAACGGAGUCUUCACUUCUGGCCCUGUCAAGUUAUGCGAAGUGUAAUUGAUGGUGGUGGUUAUUUGGUUUGGAUGCAGAAUUUGGUCGUGGGGGGAUUGGAAGGGAGGGUGCGUUCUCUCUCCAGUUACUCUGGUAAUACUGAGAGCCCUGGAAGAUUUUAAGAAACAAGUGUUUUAAAUCUUCAGCUGGGCUCAUGGAUAUCGGGAUGGCUGGGAGCUGAGGAAGUGAGGGCUGGUGAACUCAGGGAGCAAAGGAGAAACAAGGAACUUGGUCUGAAAAGAGAUUUUCUUUUUGCUCAUGGGUUCACAUGGUUUUAGCCUGUCACAAGCUGAGUGACUGUUCAAAAGAAAAGGUUAGUGAGACUCAUCUGUUGGCGUAAAGGCUACUGAGGCUGAAGCUGGUUCACCAGCCCCCCUUGCCUCUUUACUGACACCCCUUCUCACCCCAAACGGAAAUCCAGGCUCAGUUCUGGGAUGGGAGGAGGUGGCAGGGAGGGAGGGAAUACAUCGCCACUGGGAGUCCACAGUGAGAAGGGAGGGCAGCUUGCAGGGGCCCUGGCCGGCCACCAUGACGCAGGCAGGCUCAGCCAUGGGGCAGUUGGAGGUGUUGGGUCACCUCUGCUCAUUCCCCAGCGUUCAGCCCUUCCUGCCAGCCUGUCAGGACACUGGGUGAGUUGGGGAAGUGAACGUGUUCAGGACAUCUCCCCAGCACCUCGCUGGCUCCUGGUGGAAGCCAGAGCAGCAGCGCACAUCUGGUUCUGAUGUAUUUACCAGGCUGGUAUGGAAAUGCCCAGGCAGACGGCAGAAACCUGAGCUGCUUGCGACCAGUAAAGUCCUCUGCUAAGCAGCGUGAAAGGCUGGAUGGUUGCAGAGUGCUGGGUGGCCCCCGCUCUCCAGGUGAAGCACUUGACCCUACCCCAUGCUGUUUUGUUAGAGUUAAUUGCCCUGCAGUGAGGGUACCUCCCACCUCCGCCAAGGAGUACAGCAGAGAAGGGAUCCUCCACAGGUAACCGGAUGGUGCGGGGUCAUCUUGGACACCUGACAAGUCCCCAGACCUCACCUGAAUGAAAUGGGCCUGAAGUACGCUCCUGCCUGUGGCCCCUUUUGCCUGGCUCUGGCUGUCAGCAGCCCACAUAGGACCCUGUAGUCCUGAGAGGCCUGCUACAGCUCCUUGGAGAGGGCAGCGGACCCCAGAGGCUUAACGCGACAGCUCCAUACUCAACAACAAAUUCCCUGCUGACCCUGAGAAUCCCAGGGAAGAGGGGGCUAGAGGCCGGCACGAAGCUCCCAUAACUCGGGGCAGCCUGGGCCCUGCCUACCACUGAGUCUGGUGGCAGGGAGAGGGCCAGGGCUUGGGAACAGGGCUCCGAAAAUCUGCUGUUCCGCUUCCUUGGGUCAGCUGCAGACAAGCCUGAGACUGCAAAUACCUGUGAAGAGGGGAAGGCGUGGAGGCUGGAGCUGGCCCUGGGUCCUUACCAGGGUUCUAGGGCCCUGGGAACCCUCCGAGGUGGCUGGGGGCAGAAUACCAGAGGCCAUUUGGUCCGUCCCCUUACCUUACAGAAGGCCCACAUCAUCAAGGUCUGAGAGGACUUGCUUUCCCAGGAAACGCGGGGUGGGGCAGAUCUGGUGAGAAUUGGAGGCGUUUCCUCAAUUUACUUACAGCUGGUUUGGAAAUUGACAUACAGAGGACAGCAAACACUUUACCCAGAUAGGACCUCUGUGGUGUCAGAAAACUUCUCCCCACCUCCCCUGUGGACCCCACUCACCCCCAUUAAGUAGCCCAAACGCACUGUUCAAGAUGUCAGGUUAGCUGGUGGAAGGAGUUUGAUCCGUCCCCUCCACCCAAGUUAAGUACAAAUGAAUUUUUUGUUCUCAAAAAGAAAACUUAGAGCUUGACACUUUCCCCAGCCAGAUACACCUAAGUUUCACCCAGGUCUCUAGUUAGCAAGCGCAACACACCCCCACCUCUUUUUCCUUUCUUUGUGGCUUGAAGUUGCACUUCAGGAGGGUUUAUAUCAUGUUGUUCAUGUCAGCAAGCCUCCUUGUCUCCACUCCCACCCAUCUCCCUGGAUGGAAUUGUAGCUGGAAACCACACACACACAAGAAAUUCUCUUUAAAAUUUUCUGCUAUUCUUCCCAACUAGAGGAGUUGACAAGACACAGACACGUUAAGUUGCAGAAAAUACAGUGGACUGAUCAGCCAAAAUGCAUCUCAUUUGCACUUGUAUGUAGCUGGGGGUAGGAGCUAGUGUCACUCAGGCUGGGCUGACUGGCUGGAAUUUCCGAGCAGGCCCCUCUGCAGGGGCCAUUUGUGGGGUCGAAGCCCCGGCCCAGCCCAGACCAGCAGGAGGAGGGGGGAGUGGGAGGCGUCCGGAGGCCUGGCCCGAGGGCUGGAGCCGCCUUCGGCAGACCUCCUGCUCUGGGCAGCUCGGGGGCUGGGAGGCCUGGAGGGGUGGGUGCUGGCAGCUGGAUGCCCAGGUCGUCAGCCAUUCCCCGGGCCUCCCCCUGGGUUGAAUUAAAGAAAGGAAACACCUCCAAGGAGAGUCACUGACCGCAUAUUAUACCCGCUCCUACCUCUCUCCCAAGGUUGUGUCCCCGUCACCCACUUUGUCCCCAUCCACCCACGGGUGGAGGGACACCUCUGCCUGAUGCGUUCCUCCACCUACUUCGGGUCCUGAACUCGGACCCUGAGCUUCUCGCUUCCCGCCUGUCUCACUGAACCCCACUCCUGGGCCCCCGAGUUCCCAGGGAAACGUGGGUAGUGCCCUGGGAGCCUUGGAACCCAGCGGGGGCAGUUAGGGGGAAGGCACGGGUCUUUGAGGUGUUCCCGCUCUCCAGCCACCCACUCCCCUGCGCUGGUCGCAACUUUGCCCGACCCCGGGGCUAGGGCGCAACUCCUACCCGCGUAUUCCCACCCGGCAGCUGGUGGCCCGGACUGCGCUGGGGCGCAGGGUCACCGCUAGGGCUCGGUGGCGGCGGCGUGCGGGGCGCGGGGUGCAGAGGCCGAGGAACUGGGCGCAGGGCCCAGGCCUAGGCCUUGGGAAGGGCCCACCUGCCUCCGUGAGCGCCCCAGCAGCGCGCCCUCGGGGCGUCCUCUCCACCGCGUCUCGCUUGCUUUCCUUGCCAAGGCCCUGGUGACUCAGACGCCGCCAGCCCCACGAGCUCCCUUCUCCAGCGCUCGGCUCUGGCCGGGCGGGGAGACAGGGAGGCGUGCGCAGUGCUCCAGGCCUCACAGCCGGGCCCCCAGGCACCGCCGGGCCGGACCGCAGCCCACCACCUUCCCGGGGCCAACCGGGGGCGACGCGUGUUGCCCAACGGGACCAGCGCCUCACCGGGCCGCCGGGGGACCAGCCACGCGCCCUCGCUCGCGGCGGAGCGCGGGGCCGAGGCUGCGACGCCGGACAGCCAGCCCCGCACCCUUGACAGCCCGGGCACGUCCGCGGAGUCCGGGGGGACGAUCAACGGACUCUCCGUCCCGGGAGCUGGGGACACGCCUGUAAGACUGCAGGGUCCCAGUCGGCUAAAUGGGCUUGUCUUCUGCCAGGAGGGACACAGUCCUGCAGGACAGAAGGAAUGUUGGAUCUCCCAGGAAGCUCUUCGUCAAAACAUCCCUUGCCCUUUUGUUUUUGUUUUUGAAUUAAAAGAUGUGUUUGCUUUCC